CACGUAGGGCGCAAGCGUUGUCCGGAAUUAUUGGGCGUAAAGAGCUCGUAGGCGGUCUGUUGCGUCUGCUGUGAAAACUCGGGGCUUAACCCCGAGCCUGCAGUGGAUACGGGCAGACUAGAGGUAGGUAGGGGAGAAUGGAAUUCCCGGUGUAGCGGUGAAAUGCGCAGAUAUCGGGAGGAACACCGAUGGCGAAGGCAGCCCCCUGGGCUAACACUGACGCUCAGGCACGAAAGCGUGGGGAGCAAACGAGGAUUAGAGUACCCGUAGUAC
rnacentral:rRNA from 1 species